CCUAGCUUGCUAGGUGGAUUAGUGGCGCACGGGUGAGUAAUAUAUAGAUAACGUGCCUCUUAGUCUGGGAUAGCCAUUGGAAACGAUGAUUAAUACUAGAUACUCCUUCUAACUCUAAUGUUAGUUGGGAAAGUUUUUCGCUAAGAGAUCGGUCUAUAUCCCAUCAGCUAGUUGGUAGUGUAAGAGACUACCAAGGCAAUGACGGGUAGCGGGUUUGAGAGGAUGAUCCGCCACACUGGUACUGAGACACGGACCAGACUCCUACGGGAGGCAGCAGUGAGGAAUAUUGCACAAUGGAGGAAACUCUGAUGCAGCAACGCCGCGUGGAGGAUGACGCAUUUCGGUGUGUAAACUCCUUUUAUAUGUCAAGAAAAUGACGGUAGCAUAUGAAUAAGCACCGGCUAACUCCGUGCCAGCAGCCGCGGUAAUACGGAGGGUGCAAGCGUUAUUCGGAAUCACUGGGCGUAAAGGACGCGUAGGCGGGAU
rnacentral:rRNA from 1 species